rnacentral:rRNA from 1 species
AUAAGCGGAGGAAAAGAAACUAACAAGGAUUCCCCUAGUAACGGCGAGUGAAGCGGGAAGAGCUCAAAUUUAAAAUCUGGCAGUGUAUUCUGUCCGAGUUGUAGUCUAGAGAAGCAUCAUCCGUGCUGGACCAUGUACAAGUCUCUUGAACAGAGCGUCAUAGAGGGUGAGAAUCCCGUCCUUGACAUGGACUCCCAGUGCUUUGUGUUGUGCUCUCAACGAGUCGAGUUGUUUGGGAAUGCAGCUCAAAAUGGGUGGUAAAUUCCAUCUAAAGCUAAAUAUUGGCGAGAGACCGAUAGCGAACAAGUACCGUGAGGGAAAGAUGAAAAGCACUUUGGAGAGAGAGUUAAACAGUACGUGAAAUUGUUGAAAUGGAAACGCUUGAAAGUCAGUCGCGUUCUCUGGGAUUCAGCCUGGCUUCUGCCUGGUGCAUUUCCUAGUCUACGGGCCAGCAUGAAUUUCGACCGAUAGAAAAGGGCUUGAGGAAUGUGGCACCUUCGGGUGUGUUAUAGCCUCUUGUCGUAUGUGUCGGUUGGGAUUGAGGACCUCAGUGCACGCUUUUGUUGUGCUUUGAUGCUGGCGUAAUGGCUUUAAACGACC